rnacentral:sRNA from 1 species
GUUGUUUGAAAAAGAAUUUUAAUGUGAAAAUAUUGUACUACUUUUGUGGCCUGUUUAAUCCAAUAUUCAUUGCUGUCAGUAUUUGCUAAAUAGUUUGAGCAUUUAUUACUGCAGCCUGAAUUACACUGUCAGAUUUUUCCAGUGUGAAUUUUUCUAAUGCUACAAUUAAUAGAAAUACAUUAACACUGAUUUACUGCAUUAUGAUUUUAACAAUAUAACAUUGAUUGUUACUUGGAUACACUUAGUGACAUUAUUACUUGGAUACAUUGAAAACUUUGUAUCUGCAUCACAUCUUUUGAUCCUCAACAAUCCACCGAAGCCAGUAGGAACAGGGCAAAUGUUGCCGAUGGGUUGAUGUUACACUCACCCAGAGUUGCUCUGCCAGUCAGAGGCAGAGCUGGGCCAGUGGGCAGUAUUCCUCCCUCAUAGUGAAGGGCGUCAGGUCAAUAUUUUAGCACCUCUUGAGAGUAGUAAUUGGAUUACUCAGGCCACCAACAGGGAUGAAUUUCAAAUUGAUGAAACUUUGAUACAAUAUGAAGGGUCUUUUACCUUCCUACUUACUCAGUAAAGGUAUUUUUGUAUUCUCUGAGCACUGCAUCUUUAUCAUGAGUAAAGCUUAGAAAUAAUCAGGUACUUUAACUUGUACUGUUUCUUUCAUGGAAAAGGACCAAACUCUUACCCAGGAUCUACUGGAGCAGCUGUUGGAGCCCAUGACGCCUGUCGAGAUGCAAAAGAGAAGCGCUCUAAAAGCCAAGAUGCAGAUUCACCUGGAAGUUCUGGGGCCCCUGAAAACUUGACAUUCAAGGAACGCCAGCGUCUUUUUUCACAAGGUCAAGAUGUAUCCAAUAAAGUGAAAGCUUCUCGUAAAUUAACAGAACUGGAGAAUGAACUGAACACAAAGUGAAAGAAAAUGAGGAGAACACUUUGUAUUUACCCCAAAAUCUUUUCAGUUGUGGGUUUGUAGGUGCGAGUUUGAAGAGGAAAGAGGAAGGGGGUUAUAUUUCUAAGUGAUUUACAAUUUCUGUUUCUAAAAUUGUUGGGAUUUAGAAAUGUUUCAAUUCCAAGAAAUUUUAUUUUACUUUACCAUGAGAUUGCCAUUUAUGUAAUUUAAACACUGUCUAGUUUCUUAAUUAUCUAACUCACAUGAGGGUAAGUUUUUUGUUGGUUUCUUUUCUGGAGUCCUGAGUUCAAAGGGGACAGAACUAAGGGCAGGAGAAGAGAAUGGAUGUGUCUUCUCUCCCAUCUUCCCCUCAUCA